AUAGCGUAUAUUAAAGUUGUUGCAGUUAAAAAGCUCGUAGUUGGAUCUCGGGUCGUGCCGAGCGGUUCGCUUCGCGGCGGUACUUCUCGGCGCGGCCUAGCCGCCGGUCUUCGCUUGGUGCUCUUCGUUGAGUGCCUCGCGCGGCCGACAGAUUUACUUUGAAAAAAUUAGAGUGCUCAAAGCAGGCGCUUCGCUUGUAUAGUCGUGCAUGGAAUAAUGGAAUAGGACCUCGGUUCUAUUUUGUUGGUUUUCGGAGCCCGAGGUAAUGAUUAAGAGGAACAGACGGGGGCAUUCGUAUUCCGGCGCUAGAGGUGAAAUUCUUGGACCGCCGGAAGACGGACGACUG
rnacentral:rRNA from 1 species